rnacentral:rRNA from 1 species
CGUUGACCUCGAAUCAGGGUAGGACUACCCGCUGAACUUAA